CAGCGCCACAAGUGGGGACCAGUAUUAUUGGGCCUAAAGCGUCCGUAGCCGGGUUAGUAAAUUCUUUGUGAAAUUAUAGGGCUCAACCUUAUAGCGUGCAGAGAAGACUGCUAAUCUUGAGACCGGGAGGAGUUAGAGGUAUGCUUGGGGUAGUGGUAAAAUGGUAUAAUCCCUAGUAGACCACCUGUGGCGAAGGCGUCUAACUAGAACGGGUCUGACGGUGAGGGACGAAAGCUGGGGGAGCGAUCCGGAUUAGAUACCCGAGUAGUCC
rnacentral:rRNA from 1 species